GUUUUCAUGAAACUAGAACCUCGCUCGUGUUUCAGCACAAGCUAAUAGUAAUAUUUGAUAUUUGAUAAUAUAUAUUGAUAGUUUAAUUAUAUUAAAAAAAUUACAAACAAUAUCAUUCAAGUAAACAUUUGAAGCAAACAUGAUAUCUCAUACAUAUUGUGAUGACAUUAUAUAUGAUAUUCCAUAUAUGGCUAGCACAAAAAUAAGUUUAAAUUACAAACAACAUAGGUAAUUAUUUGCAUGUUUUAUAAAAGGGAUAGAUGUGCAUUGAUAGUGGUGAGAGCAGGAGAAAGAAGAUAGAAUGGACUGAGAGAAGAUGAAAGAAGUUACCACCAACCCUGAGUACAGGCUCCUUUUCUUUGCAGGAGAAAGAAGACAGAUUGGAGUGCUUCCAAGGUGAAAGAAGUCACCACCAACCCUGAGUAUAGGCUGAGGCUUUGUUCUUAUUCCCCACUAUCUGCAAAGACAGGGGUGCAAAGAUUGGUGCCACUCUUUGGCAAAAAUUGUUUCCUGAAUAUGAGGCAAAAAUUGUCAUUUAGAACAUUAAGGUUGUUGAGAAUCAUUCUAAGUACAAAGUUUCAGCAUGCUUACUUUUUGAACAACUAUCAAUGCACAUCUAUCCCCUUUAUCAAACACGUAAAUCAUUACCUAUAUUGCUUGUAAUUCAAACUUAUUUUUGUGCUAGCCAUAUAUAAUAUGUCAUCACAUUAUGUAUA